GUGUGCGUGUGUGUGUGUGUGUGUGUGUGUGUGUGUGAGUGUGUGACGUCACAGCCUGCCGUUGGUCGAGCUCAGUUCGGAUCAGUUCGGAUCAGCCGUUGUUUCCUCCGGAGAUAAACGGAUCUUAACCCGCCUCGUCCCGGUUCUGACCCGGGGAACUUUUAACCCGACAAGUGUCAGGAAGCUCCGGCGGAGGGAGGGAGCGGAGCCGCUGUUCUGUCAACGUAACGUCCGUAACGUUCCGGCUGCUCCGGCGGCUGGUCACCGUCUGUCCGGAGCUGCUCCACCGGGGAUCGGACACCGAGGCCGAGGGUCGAUCGUUCCGAUGGAGAGGAAGAGGACGGACUGUCCCGCUCUGCCGCCCGGGUGGAAGAAGGAGGAAGUGACCAGGAAGUCCGGGCUGAGUGCCGGGAAGAGCGACGUCUACUACUACAGUCCCACAGGGAAGAAGUUCAGGAGUAAGCCACAGCUGUCCCGUUACCUUGGCAACACGGUGGAUCUGGGAUGUUUCGACUUCCGGUCGGGGGGGAUGACGGGGGGGAUGACGGGGGGGAAACUUCAGAAGAACAAACAGAGGCUUCGUCACGACUCGCUCAGCCUGACCAAGGGAGGAAAGACAGACCUGAACACGUCUCUGCCAAUCAGACAGACAGCCUCCAUCUUCAAACAGCCCAUUACCAAGGUCACUAACCAUCCAGGAAACAAGGUGAAGACGGACACGCAAUCACACACAGACACACACACGCAGAGAUCGUCUGAGCAGCCGAGACAGCUGUUUUGGGAGAAGAGGUUGAAAGGUCUCCGGUCCUCAGACGUCACAGAGGAACUUCUCAGGACCAUGGACUUGCCCAAAGGGCUGCAGAGUGUCGGUCCGGACUCCGGCGACGACACCCUUCUGUCGGCCCUCGCCAGCGCCCUGCACAUGAGCUCUUCUCCCAUCACGGGACAGAUGUCUGUGGCUGCAGGGAAGAACCCGACCAUCUGGCUGAACACGUCGCAGCCGCUCUGCAAAGCCUUCACAGUCACUGACGAGCACAUCAGGGAGCAGGAGCUGAAAGUGCACCAGGCCAGGAGGAGCCUGGAGGAGGCGCUCAUGGCCGACGGUUUGGCUCGGGCCACUGAAAAUACCAGGGAGGUGUUCGAGGGGAAAACGGCCUGAGGACGGACGGUUCUCCAUGUGAGAACUAAAGACUGAGUCAGUGUCUCUGGACAUGUUCUGGAUCUUCUCCUGCAGCCUCCUGGUAGAAUGUGUGUAACAUGUCAGAGUCCAUGUGAGGAACCAGCAGGAUAAUGUGUGGAAGCUUCCCAGUGAGCGAGUGGACGUGUGGAUGAGGUUUCUAACACGUGACGUGAAACUGGAAGAACACAAACAUCUCAGGAUGAAGAAGAGGAGCCGGACACGUAGAAGACGAAGACGUCCACUUGGAAACACGAGGAGAUUCCAGAUCUUCUGGUGAUGAGGGCCGAGCCGGUGUGGAUGAGAUGUAAACAACAACACUGAUCUUUCCACAGCAGAGUUUAUACGUCAUGUCCCGCCUCCUGCUGCUCUACAGGCUCCGCCCCUGCUGCUCUACAGGCUCCGCCCCUGCUGCUCUACAGGCUCCGCCCCUCGCCUGGUUGUUCCCACAUGUUCCUGUUUGAACGAGUCGGACCCGACAACCUGCUGCUGCUUCACAAACACUGACUACACAACAUUGAGUUCAUGUUUGAGAACAUUGUAUUCAUGAGUUACUAAAACUUGACGUGAGACUCUGAGCUGCUUUAAAUGUCUUGAUCCACUGUGUGUGUGUGUGUGUGUGUGUGUGUGUGUGUGUGUGUGUGUGUGUGUGUGUGUGUGUGUGUGUGUGUGUGUGUGUGUGUGUGUGUGUGUGUGUGUGUGUGUGUGUGUGUGUUGAAUGCUGAUGGGAUUGUCUGCGUCUGAUUGAAACUCAGUCAUGCAGCAGGCUAACACACUGUGUGUGAUUGAUGGGCUGUUGGCUUGUGUGUGUGUGUGUGUGUGUGUGUGUGUGUGUGUGUGUGUGUGUGUGUGUGUGUGUGUGUGUGUGUGUGUGUGUGUGUGUGUGUGUGUGUGUGUGUGUGUGUGUGUGUGUGUGUGUGUGUGUGUGUGUGUGUGUCCAUCCAUCAUCCCUGCUUCCUCGCUGCUUAUCCAGAUCAGGCUUGCGGACCAGACAGUGAAUUUACUGCAGAGAUAAUAAUACUUUGUUUGAAUGAAUAUCACUUAAGUGACGGUUUGUCACAGAAACUUGUUUUUAGGUUAUUAUUUAAUUUUAAACUGUAAAAUAUCAAACCUCAGUUACAUUUCUUUGUCACGACAGAUCAAUAACAACAUCUUCUGAAUCAUUGAUCAUUUUUUCCAUCUGCAUCUUUUGGUCAAUGUAUUUGUGUUUUACUCUUAAUGGCGUCCAUGUUAGUCGAGCUCUACUGAGCCUGCUGGUCAGACAGCAGCAUCAUCACUACCAUCUGACAUCAGGGCUGCGUUCAGCUCAGUGUUCAGAGGAAACAAGUCGUUCAUCAGGAACCUGAAGAAACUCAGAGUGUGUGUGUGUGGGGGGGGGGGGGCGAUGCUUGCUCUAAAAGCCGACUAACGGAGGUUUUUUUAAGCACAUUUGUUUUGUGUGGAGGGAAAAUCUUCCAUUAAUGCAGAUUUAUGCAGAUUGGCUGGAUGGAAGUCGUUUGGGCGAAAAGAGCCGCUGAGAGUUGAGGAGUGAUUACUAAUGGGUUUUUAUAGCUGGACCAGAGAGAGAGAGAGAGAGGGCAGCGGCCUGUGUGUGAGUGUGAGUGUGUGUGUGUGUGUGUGUGUGUGUGUGUGUAGCUGUUGAAACAAUCCUUUUAAAUCCUUGCAGGAAUCUCAGACCGCUCGGUUUCCUGCUCAUGAGUCUUGUUGCCGCUUCCUAUUUAUUUAUUUAUGUUGGUUUUCGGCUGAGUGGGUUCGGUCUCGUUCUCUUUAUGGUUCGUUGUUGGAAACAUGAAACAGUAGGUGUCUGCAAACUCCUGGUGCAGCUUCCACUCAACACAAAUACAACAAAGUCCACAAAAUAUCAAGUAGUUUUGUCACAGUGUUGAAAUAGUAUUUUACUUGUAAAUGUGCUGCGCUCAGAAUGUUGCUGUAAAUAAGUUCAUCAUGAAAAUAUAAAAGUCAGAGAUGCAGCCUUUAAAACGAUUUAGUGAUUGUUUUUUACAUGAACACAGAUCAUAGUCAAACAUUUGAUGUCUAGCAUCGAGUGGAAAUAAAGUUUAACGAUGCAAAGAAGCUAAAAUAUCUCAGAUAUGAACGCUGCCAUCUUGUGGUGACAUCAGUUAUAAUCUGUGCAGUAGUGAUGGGGAUCCAGGACAUUUGUCGUGACCUUAGCGAGCCGCCAUGUUGUCCAUCUGUAUCUACAGCUCACAGUGCUGAGACAUUUUACAACUCGUCUUUCCUGAGGAAUAAAGGAAUUACAUGAAAAACCAGAAGUUAAGACUAAUCAGCUCAGAUUGUUUUUCUGGCUCCAACGUCUCAUCCACAUGAAUCUACUGUGCUUUGUGUUAUAAUGUAUAAUGUGCAUUGAUUUGAUGACUUGUAAUGUGCAGUCUUUUUCAUGUGGGGAUCACUUCAAUGACCCUCAUCAUUCAAUCGACCUUUAUUCAUACAGCGUGCACAGAAACAUUAGAAACAUUUAUUGUUGUCGCCCCAGGAUCAAAUACACUAUUUAGACAAAUAAUUGUGACUCCUACACAUUACACCUACAGGAGCUUUUAUGACUUAUUCUAAAUCCAUAGGCAUUAAUAUGGAGCUGGUCCCCUCUUUGCAGCAGCUUCACUCUUCUUCAAGACUCUGGAUUGUGUCUGUGGGAAUUUCUGCUCCUUCCUCCAGAAGAUAUUUGUGAUGUCAGAUGCAGAUGCUGGACCAGAGGGCUCCGACUCUGUUCUAGUUCAGUGAUUGGGGUGAGCUCAGGGCUCUGUGGGGCCAGUCCAGCCUGGAUGGACCUGAGCAGAGUCCUGGAACACAACACUUCCACAAACAAAGUUGGAACCAUAGAACUGUCUGAAGCAGUAAGAUUUAACUUCACUGGAACUCAGGGUCCAACCAAUUGGACUGAAUGAAACACCUGAGUUUGCUGACGUGUGUCCCGAUACCUUUGUCCAUAUAGUGUCUCUUUUAAAAGAAGUAUCAGUGGAUUCAUCUUCAGAUCUUGCACCAAAGAGUUUCAUCUAAGAGGAGCCAAACAUUUUAAAGACCUUUUUGCCUCCAGCUCUGUUCUAAAUUUAGGAACCUUAAGAAUGACUCACGUCUGAGUUCUGCUGCUGCAGUGAAGAAAUGUUCCAUGUUUGCUUCUGUCGUCCAGGUCAGAGUUAGAACCUCAGCAAAUUAAAAUACGCUACAUGAAUAUUCGGUUCUAACACAUGAACUCAGUAACAUGUUGUUUCUGGACAUGUUGUGUAGUCAGUGUUUGUGAAGCAGCAGCAGCAGGUUGUCGGGUCCGACUCGUUCAAACAGAAACAUGUGGGAAAAUCCAGGCGAGGGGCGGAGCCUGUAGAGCAGCAGGAGGCGGAGCCUGUAGAGCAGCAGGAGGCGGGACAUGACGUAUAAACUCUGCAGUGGAAAGAUCCGUGUUGUUGUUUACAGCUCAUCCACACCGGCGUCGGCCCUCAUCACCAGAAGAUCUGGAAUCUCCUCGUCAGGAACAUGUCAGGAACAUUUGAGGAUCAUUUGAGGAACACUUCAGCAACACAUCAGGAACAUAGCUCCUCUGUUCACCAGCCUCAGGUUGAUCCUCAUCUUUAUCUUAACCCAGAUGACAAACCUAAACUUAAACCCGACCUUCACUGACUUAAACCUCGCCAGCAGAGAUCUGUUGUGUUGGAGGUUUCAGCUUCGUUUGAAAGAAACCUUGUGAUGAUGUCACACUGGACCCGUCUCUCGGCCUCGGGGGACUAAAGUGAUUUUUCUAGAGCAACAACAGGAAGCACCAGCAACAGCUAACGUAGGACAGCAACAGACCCGGUCACAGGAACAAGCAGCAAUAAGAGAAGAUCUUCUUCAGCUCAAAGUUUGAAUCCCCUGUGGCUUCUUAUCUCAACUCGUAUCAAGGUCCAUGCUGUCUUUUCUGUUUAUUUAAUGCAGAUUGAAAAUAUCAAUAAUAAAAAAUGAAAUACAGAGACACUCUCAUGGAACCCAAAGAAAGUCAGGAUGCAAACUGCUGGACAGCUUUUGCUAACUCUUUAAAUUCUCCAGUGUUUGCGGUGUCAUCGUCUUCAGGGGUUUUCAUUAAAUGAUUAUGAAUGACUUCAGAACAACAGAUUAUUUAAAACAGAUUUUAUACCUGAACUUUCAGUACGUGUACAUUUCUCUGACUGGAGGAAAUAAACAUUUAUAUUCACA